ACUCCUACGGGAGGCAGCAGUGGGGAAUAUUGCACAAUGGGCGCAAGCCUGAUGCAGCCAUGCCGCGUGUGUGAAGAAGGCCUUCGGGUUGUAAAGCACUUUCAGCAGUGAGGAAGGCGGGUAGUGUUAAUAGCAUAUUCGUUUGUACGUUAGCUGCAGAAGAAGCACCGGCUAACUCCGUGCCAGCAGCCGCGGUAAUACGGAGGGUGCGAGCGUUAAUCGGAAUUACUGGGCGUAAAGCGCAUGCAGGUGGUUUGUUAAGUUCAGAUGUGAAAGCCCGGGGCUCAACCUCGGAAUAGCAUUUGAAACUGGCAGACUAGAGUACUGGUAGAGGGGGUAGGAAUUUCAGGUGUAGCGGUGAAAUGCGUAGAGAUCUGAAGGAAUACCGGUGGCGAACGGCGGCCCCCGUGGACAGAUACUGACACUCAGAUGCGAAAGCGUGGGAGCAAACAGGAUUAGAUACCCCUGGUAGCGACUGA
rnacentral:rRNA from 1 species